rnacentral:lncRNA from 1 species
CAGGACCUCUGGAAGGACCAACUGAGCCAUCUCUCCAGCCCCAGUUGGGGGCUCUUAACCGCUGAGCCAUCUCUCUCCAGCCCGAGAUUUCUUACCAUGGAGAAAAUCUGUCUCUUCCUGGAGAGGCAAGUGUAGACCUAGUGUGGGAGUGCUCAGAAUGUGCAUGUGAGUUGUUAUUCCAGGACCAGGAAGAAAACAGCUUCCAUUUUCUCGUGGUAUUGGGGACGGAGUCCAGAGACUUGUGCAUGCUAGGCAGGUGUUCUCCCACUGAGGUCCAUCCUGAUAAAAAUCACCAUCCCCGGGCUGAGGAGGCCUUUAAAGUUUUGCGGGCAGCUUGGGACAUCGUCAGCAAUCCAGAGAGGCGGAAGGAAUAUGAGAUCAGCCUCUACAGCAGUGGUUCUCAACCUGUGAGUUGUUGACUCCCAACAACCGUUUUGCAAGGGUCGAAUAUCAGCUAUCCUGCAUAUCAGGAAACGGAUGGCAGAGAAUGAGCUCAGCCGCUCGGUGAAUGAGUUUCUGUCGAAGCUACAAGAUGACCUCAAGGAGGCAAUGAAUACGAUGAUGUGCAGCCGGUGCCAAGGGAAGCAUAGGAGGUUUGAAAUGGACCGGGAACCCAAGAGUGCCAGAUACUGUGCCGAGUGUAACAGGUUGCAUCCUGCUGAGGAAGGAGACUUCUGGGCAGAGUCAAGCAUGUUGGGCCUCAAGAUCACCUACUUUGCACUGAUGG